rnacentral:rRNA from 1 species
GACGAACGCUGGCGGCGUGCUUAACACAUGCAAGUCGAACGGAAAGGCCCUGCGUUCGUGGGGUGCUCGAGGGGCGAACGGGUAAGUAACACGUGAGUAACCUUACCUUGACUUAGGGAUAACGUCAGGAAACUGGGGCUAAUACCAGAAAGGAGCUCCUGAUGCAUGGUGAGGGUUGGAAAGUUUCGGCGGUCGGAGAUGGACUCGAGGCUUAGCAGCUUGCUGGUGGGGUAGUGGCGGACCAAGGGAUUGACGGGUAGCCGGCCUGAGAGGGUGACCGGGCACCAUGGGCCUGCGAGACGCCGCAGACGGCAACGUGCCGCAAAGGUGGGAAGUAUUGCACAACGGCGGGGAGUGUGAUGCAGCGACGCUGCGUUCGGGAAGACGUCUUUCGGGUUGUAAACAGCUUUUGCCUGUGAUGAAGUGUGAGUGACGGUAAUGGGUAAAGAAGCACCGGCUAACUACGUG